rnacentral:lncRNA from 1 species
ACUAGGUCAACAGGAGAGAGUGUCUUUUUCCUCUGAAGCAGCCCACUUCCUCCUACCCCUGCUCACCUUGGUUUAAUCUCAAAGGACUCGUUAUCUUCACACAGACCAAUGGAAGGAAACGAACCUUUCUUUGGAAUGCUUGAAGAUGCCAGAAUUUGAAAUAUCUCACGGAGAUGAACUGAACAGCUGAACUGUAAGCAAUCAUUAAGCAGAACUCCUGUAGCCUGAUGUCAUGAACAAACCAUAGCAGAUUUUUUCCUCUACUGCUCCUUUACUUCAUGGUUAAAAUGUGCUUUUAAACAAGAAAUAGGGAUCAAAGACUUCCAAUUCAGUUUGUAAAGAAAACAACUCCAAAUACAAGGUUAUUAUGUACAAGUACCUUACAAUUACAUACUUUUCUAAUAGCA